rnacentral:rRNA from 1 species
CAAGGCUUGACAUAUAGAGGAAAAGUGCAGAGAUGCACUCCCCGCAAGGUCUCUAUACAGGUGGUGCAUGGUUGUCGUCAGCUCGUGUCGUGAGAUGUUGGGUUAAGUCCCGCAACGAGCGCAACCCUCGUCCUAUGUUGCCAGCACGUUAUGGUGGGAACUCAUGGGAUACUGCCGGGGUCAACUCGGAGGAAGGUGGGGAUGACGUCAAAUCAUCAUGCCCCUUAUGUCUUGGGCUUCACGCAUGCUACAAUGGCCGGUACAGAGGGCAGCAAUACCGCAAGGUGGAGCGAAUCCCAGAAAGCCGGUCUCAGUUCGGAUUGAGGUCUGCAACUCGACCUCAUGAAGUCGGAGUCGCUAGUAAUCGCGAAUCAGCAACGUCGCGGUGAAUACGUUCCCGGGUCUGUACACACCGAAUCUAGAGCAUCGGAGCCAC